CUGGCCUCACCUCACUAACUGGACAAAUUCUUUCUUUCCUGCAGUUCAAAUCCCUGAGGGAAGGUAUGUGAUUGCCUCAGCCGAGCACUGGCAUGUCUGUUUAGGAAGAGUCUUUCGUGCAGGCCCCUCUCAUCUGCUGGCAAGCUGGAGACGGCCACCUGGAAGAGGGGGGAGCCAUUCUUAGUUCAGCCAGGACAGGACGGAGCUGCUGAUCCACAACGUGCUGUCCGGGCAACUUCCCUGACUGAGAAACCAGUGAAGAGAUUGAGGCCUCAUAUCUGGUUCAUUUGGAGCAGACCCUCAGUAUUGUGGGAUCUUAGAGCAUAAAGGCAAAGAAAAUCAUGAAAAAAGUUCCCACCAGAUUUUGAAGAACCUCAAUUUCAUCAUCCACAUGAUGGUAAUCAUACCAACCCUAUCAUUCAUCGCCUGACUGCUGUGAGAAUUGAAUGGGAAAAGUCAAGGUAUGGAAGCACCUAAAGAUCCAUAACAGAUGGAUGGAGAAAGAAGAUAAUUUAAAUGGAUGCAAUGAAACAUUACUCAGUCAGAAAAAAAGAAUAAAAUUUACCAAUUGCAACAAUCUGGAUGAACC